UUUCAUAGAGUAAAGUGACCGGCUCAUACGCAUGUAAGAAUAUGAUAUAUUUUAUAUGAAGGUUAUUGUGAAGGUUAAGGUGACGUGGAAGUGCCACGACUACAUAAAAUCCAGUUUUAACCAGAAUUAAUGGUAGGCGUUUUUAGUUUACAUUUAGCUUCAUAGUUAACUUUAACAAAAAGUCCCGAAGUAGACUCACAAGGAGAAGCACCUCAAGUCAAGAGGUCUCCUCAUAAAAUUAUUAAUUUGUGCCAAUUUUAUAGAAAUAAAAGCUUCACUGCAAGCAAUAGUUAAAUUAAAUUGGAAUUGUAGUUGUCAAAUAAGUCUUCACAUUCUUCAGCGACACAUUUAUUAUCGACUGAUUAUGGAAUCAAUGAAUUGCGUUGUUGCAGUAAUACUUGAAGCCGGUGCUUUUGGGAUAUAAUAAAAUUAUCGUGAUACUGUAAGAAAUAAGAAUUUACUGGAACAUUGUGUAGACUGAUGAGAAAUGCAGCUUGGAUGUGCCAAAAAGGGCAAAUGUACAUACUCAAUUUACUUGAUUUAACCCCAACCGACCAACUUUGUCGGAAUGAGCUUUCACAGAAAUGCGAUCCGAUUUAUAAGUAAUAAAUGACAAUUACUGUCAAUUUGUCUAUUUAUUCCACUGCUCUCGACAUUUGUUUUAUACAAAAUAGUGAUACCGCAGAAAUAAAUUUCAACAGGACUGUUAUGCCCUAAAUACGUACAGACCCGAAUAUCUACAUUUAAUGUAUUCAUUUGCUGUUGAAUAGUUAAUCGUAUCACAUUAUUAUAAUAAAUUUUCUUGCUACCAGGA